rnacentral:rRNA from 1 species
AUUGAACGCUGGCGGCAUGCCUUACACAUGCAAGUCGAACGGUAACAGGUCUUCGGAUGCUGACGAGUGGCGAACGGGUGAGUAAUACAUCGGAACGUGCCUAGUAGUGGGGGAUAACUACUCGAAAGAGUGGCUAAUACCGCAUGAGAUCUACGGAUGAAAGCAGGGGAUCGUAAGACCUUGUGCUACUAGAGCGGCCGAUGGCAGAUUAGGUAGUUGGUGGGAUAAAAGCUUACCAAGCCGACGAUCUGUAGCUGGUCUGCGGACGAUCAGCCACACUGGGACUGAGACACGGCCCAGACUCCUACGGGAGGCAGCAGUGGGGAACUUUGGACAAUGGGCGCAAGCCUGAUCCAGCAAUGCCGCGUGCAGGAUGAAGGCCUUCGGGUUGUAAACUGCUUUUGUACGGAACGAAAAGCCCUGGGUUAAUACCCUGGGGUCAUGACGGUACCGUAAGAAUAAGCACCGGCUAACUACGUGCCAGCCGCCGCCGUAACAC